GACGAACGCUGGCGGCGUGCCUAAUACAUGCAAGUUGAGCGCUGAAGGUUGGUACUUGUACCGACUGGAUGAGCAGCGAACGGGUGAGUAACGCGUGGGGAAUCUGCCUUUGAGCGGGGGACAACAUUUGGAAACGAAUGCUAAUACCGCAUAAAAACUUUAAACACAAGUUUUAAGUUUGAAAGAUGCAAUUGCAUCACUCAAAGAUGAUCCCGCGUUGUAUUAGCUAGUUGGUGAGGUAAAGGCUCACCAAGGCGAUGAUACAUAGCCGACCUGAGAGGGUGAUCGGCCACAUUGGGACUGAGACACGGCCCAAACUCCUACGGGAGGCAGCAGUAGGGAAUCUUCGGCAAUGGACGAAAGUCUGACCGAGCAACGCCGCGUGAGUGAAGAAGGUUUUCGGAUCGUAGAACUCUGUUGGUAGAGAAGAACGUUGGUGAGAGUGGAAAGCUCAUCAAGUGACGGUAACUACCCAGAAAGGGACGGCUAACUACGUG
rnacentral:rRNA from 1 species